ACACUCGAGCUCACUAUCUCAUCCUCCUCUCACCCACCCCUUAUUGCUCCCCUCUAGAUCCACGUCGUCGCCGGCCUCUCCUCGCCGCCGUCACCGGCCUCUCCUCGACUCACUUUCUCUCCACCACCAAGCACCUCGUUUCCUCCCAUCGCGCACCCCGUACCGUAGGUCAAAAGCUUGACUUUUUAGGCGCCGACGACGAGCUUCUGGGCGGCGGAGGCUGGAUCCACGUGCGUCCACGCCGGCUUCGCGGCGACGCUUGAUGUGGAGCAGCGGAUCGGGGCUUUCUUCUUCACCUCACAGCGCCAUCCUCCUCCACGACCACGCAGCCGCAGCGGCGGAGGAGCCGAAUCCCUAGCCAGCGAGCUCAGGGAGCCAUGGGUCCAUGGGGCAACGCCAUGGAAGGGCCACCAACUACAGCAGCGAGGAGAGGAGAAAGGGAGUAUCCUGACGGCUGUCUUCCACCUCCGCCUACGCCCCCGUCCUCCACCUCCACCUACACCCCCGCCGGAAAAUAGUACAAUGGCCAAGGAAAUAGGCAGGAGGCGCCACUUCCCGGAUGGACAUGGACAUGCAUCUCCAACUCUGCUUCUUCCUGGGUCGCCAUGGAAGGUCAGGAUGGCAAACCUAGGGCGUGAUGGGCACCAUGAAACAUAACAAAGGUGGAUAUCCGUCCUUUGCCGUCGGAGAGGAAGAAGACGGUAGGCAGGCUCUGGAGAUGACGCAGCAACAGCCGUCGAGCGGAGGUUGUGUUUGGACGCCCUGGUUGUGGUUCGGCAUGCGAGGCGAUCAGCAAAGGCUGCAACUCCCACAGCUCGCGUGCGAACAAUGUGGCCGGGCGACGAUUGAAGCGGCGUUUCUGUUUUGGCGGCGUGCGUUCGUGUGUGGAUGGAGCUCGUAUGCCAGGAAGAAUUGGCGUCUCGAUGGAGCUCAUACGCCAGGAAGAACUGGCGUUCGUUGGCGGGUCGAAGAAGUUUUAUUUUUGGUCGAUGGACCUCGUCCUCGUUCGUGGGUUGCGGAGCUGUUUUUUUAUUGACUGGGCGCGAUCAUGGGGUUCCAUGGACUUGUCGUUCGUGUGUAGAACUGUGGAUCUCGUACGUGGGCUGAGUUGGUGAAUAUUUUUUGUUUGCGGGCGCUGAGUUGGUGAUUCUUCGUACGUGGGCUGAGUUGGUGGGCUGCUGCGUGCGUGUGGGAGUUCGGGCUAUGGUUUUUGUUCGAAGGGAGAGGGAUCGAACAA